UGGGGAAUAUUGGACAAUGGGCGAAAGCCUGAUCCAGCCAUGCCGCGUGUGUGAAGAAGGUCUUCGGAUUGUAAAGCACUUUAAGUUGGGAGGAAGGGCAGUAAGCGAAUACCUUGCUGUUUUGACGUUACCGACAGAAUAAGCACCGGCUAACUCUGUGCCAGCAGCCGCGGUAAUACAGAGGGUGCAAGCGUUAAUCGGAAUUACUGGGCGUAAAGCGCGCGUAGGUGGUUCGUUAAGUUGAAUGUGAAAGCCCCGGGCUCAACCUGGGAACUGCAUCCAAAACUGGCGAGCUAGAGUAGGGCAGAGGGCGGUGGAAUUUCCUGUGUAGCGGUGAAAUGCGUAGAUAUAGGAAGGAACACCAGUGGCGAAGGCGACCACCUGGGCUCAUACUGACACUGAGGUGCGAAAGCGUGGGGAGCAAACAGG
rnacentral:rRNA from 1 species